rnacentral:rRNA from 1 species
UACGUAGGUGGCGAGCGUUGUCCGGAUUUAUUGGGUUUAAAGGGUGCGUAGGCGGUCCUAUAAGUCAGUGGUGAAAUAUCGCAGCUCAACUGUGAGGGUGCCAUUGAUACUGUAGGACUUGAGUGAAUUUGAGGUAGGCGGAAUUGACGGUGUAGCGGUGAAAUGCUUAGAUAUCGUCAAGAACACCGAUAGUGAAGACAGCUUACCAAGCUUCAACUGACGCUGAGGCACGAAAGUGUGGGGUUCAAACAGG